UUAGUGCUGCAGCUAACGCAUUAAGCACUCCGCCUGGGGAGUACGGUCGCAAGACUGAAACUCAAAGGAAUUGACGGGGGCCCGCACAAGCGGUGGAGCAUGUGGUUUAAUUCGAAGCAACGCGAAGAACCUUACCAGGUCUUGACAUCCUCUGACAACCCUAGAGAUAGGGCUUUCCCUUCGGGGACAGAGUGACAGGUGGUGCAUGGUUGUCGUCAGCUCGUGUCGUGAGAUGUUGGGUUAAGUCCCGCAACGAGCGCAACCCUUGAUCUUAGUUGCCAGCAUUUAGUUGGGCACUCUAAGGUGACUGCCGGUGACAAACCGGAGGAAGGUGGGGAUGA
rnacentral:rRNA from 1 species